rnacentral:rRNA from 1 species
GACGAACUGUGCAAACGUUAUUCGGAAUCACUGGGCUUAAAAGGUGCGUAGGCGGUCUUUUAAGUAGGGUGUGAAAGCCUCUGGCUCAACCAGAGAACUGCGCCCUAAACUAGAAGGCUUGAGUGAGGUAGGGGUGUGUGGAACUUCCAGUGGAGCGGUGAAAUGUGUUGAUAUUGGAAGGAACGCCGGUGGCGAAAGCGACACACUGGACCUUGUCUGACGCUGAGGCACGAAAGCCAGGGGAGCAAACGGG